AGGGGCGUGCUCCUGGGAGAGCAACGAGCCUCCAAAACUCGCGCACAGGGUUCGAAUCCUUGCGCCCCUG
rnacentral:tRNA from 1 species